ensembl:snoRNA
AUCCUUUUGUGAUUCCUAAGCACGAUGGGUUUACAUGUCUGUGUGACACGUGCCUCCCUCCAAUCUUGCUACAACGUCGGCACAGUACCUGUCUGACA